GAUGAACGCUAGCGGCAGGCCUAACACAUGCAAGUCGAGGGGUAGAACACUUCGGUGUUUGAGACCGGCGCACGGGUGCGUAACGCGUAUGCAAUCUACCUUGUACAGGGGAAUAGCCCAGAGAAAUUUGGAUUAAUGCCCCAUAGUAUAUAACCUUCGCAUGUUGGUUAUAUUAAAGUUCCAACGGUACAAGAUGAGCAUGCGUCCCAUUAGUUAGUUGGUAAGGUAACGGCUUACCAAGACGAUGAUGGGUAGGGGUCCUGAGAGGGAGAGCCCCCACACUGGUACUGAGACACGGACCAGACUCCUACGGGAGGCAGAAGUGAGGAAUAUUGGUCAAUGGUCGCAAGACUGAACCAGCCAUGCCGCGUGCAGGAAGACGGUCCUAUGGAUUGUAAACUGCUUUUAUACAGGAAGAAACCCUCCCACGUGUGGGAGCUUGACGGUACUGUAGGAAUAAGGAUCGGCUAACUCCGUGCCAGCAGCCGCCGUAA
rnacentral:rRNA from 1 species